AACGAACGCUGGCGGCAGGCUUAACGCAUGCAAGUCGAACGCCUCGCAAGGGGAGCGGCAGACGGGUGAGUAACGCGUGGGAACGUACCCUUUACUACGGAAUAGCUCCGGGAAACUGGAAUUAAUACCGUAUGUGCCCUUUGGGGGAAAGAUUUAUCGGUAAAGGAUCGGCCCGCGUUGGAUUAGCUAGUUGGUGGGGUAAAGGCCUACCAAGGCGACGAUCCAUAGCUGGUCUGAGAGGAUGAUCAGCCACAUUGGGACUGAGACACGGCCCAAACUCCUACGGGAGGCAGCAGUGGGGAAUAUUGGACAAUGGGCGCAAGCCUGAUCCAGCCAUGCCGCGUGAGUGAUGAAGGCCUUAGGGUUGUAAAGCUCUUUCACCGGAGAAGAUAAUGACGGUAUCCGGAGAAGAAGCCCCGGCUAACUUCGUGCCAGCAGCCGCCGUAAGAC
rnacentral:rRNA from 1 species